rnacentral:misc_RNA from 1 species
CUCAAGCCUAAGAUUUUAGGCUACCAGUUUCAUGCCUCCAGAUACCAUGCCUUAGAAGCAGUCAAGUAGGCUUCGUACUCUUAUUAAUGAGGAUGGUAUGUAUUUCUAUCUUUGACGCAGAACCUCACAACAAUAUUAGGAAGCUUUGCACCAGACUCCAAGAUUAUAGGAAAGCAAAAACUUGAUGCAGAUGAUGCGGAUCUUAAAUAAGACCAAGUGGAAAAGGCUAACACCCAA